AUUGAACGCUGGCGGCAGGCCUAACACAUGCAAGUCGAGCGGAUGAAGGGGGCUUGCUCCUGGCUUCAGCGGCGGACGGGUGAGUAAUGCCUAGGAAUCUGCCUGGUAGUGGGGGAUAACGUCCGGAAACGGGCGCUAAUACCGCAUACGUCCUGAGGGAGAAAGUGGGGGAUCUUCGGACCUCACGCUAUCAGAUGAGCCUAGGUCGGAUUAGCUAGUUGGUGGGGUAAAGGCCUACCAAGGCGACGAUCCGUAACUGGUCUGAGAGGAUGAUCAGUCACACUGGAACUGAGACACGGUCCAGACUCCUACGGGAGGCAGCAGUGGGGAAUAUUGGACAAUGGGCGAAAGCCUGAUCCAGCCAUGCCGCGUGUGUGAAGAAGGUCUUCGGAUUGUAAAGCACUUUAAGUUGGGAGGAAGGGCAGUAAGUUAAUACCUUGCUGUUUUGACGUUACCAACAGAAUAAGCACCGGCUAACUUCGUGCCAGCAGCCGCGGUAAUACGAAGGGUGCAAGCGUUAAUCGGAAUUACUGGGCGUAAAGCGCGCGUAGGUGGUUCAGCAAGUUGGAUGUGAAAUCCCCGGGCUCAACCUGGGAACUGCAUCCAAAACUACUGAGCUAGAGUACGGUAGAGGGUGGUGGAAUUUCCUGUGUAGCGGUGAAAUGCGUAGAUAUAGGAAGGAACACCAGUGGCGAAGGCGACCACCUGGACUGAUACUGACACUGAGGUGCGAAAGCGUGGGGAGCAAACAGGAUUAGAUACCCUGGUAGUCCACGCCGUAAACGAUGUCGACUAGCCGUUGGGAUCCUUGAGAUCUUAGUGGCGCAGCUAACGCGAUAAGUCGACCGCCUGGGGAGUACGGCCGCAAGGUUA
rnacentral:rRNA from 1 species